rnacentral:misc_RNA from 1 species
UCCGGCUUAUCACCGGCAGUCCCACUAGAGUGCCCAACUAAAUGCUGGCAACUAAUGGCGAGGGUUGCGCUCGUUGCGGGACUUAACCCAACAUCUCGCGACACGAGCUGACGACAGCCAUGCAGCACCUGUUCUCCGACCUAUUGCUAGGAGGAAUCCAUUUCUGGAAACCGCCCGGAGAAUGUCAAGGACUGGUAAGGUUCUUCGCGUUGCGUCGAAUUAAACCACAUGCUCCACCGCUUGUGCGGGCCCCCGUCAAUUCCUUUGAGUUUCAACCUUGCGGCCGUACUCCCCAGGCGGAGAACUUAGCGCGUUAGCUACGACACCGAGGGGCUAAUCCCCCCAACAUCUAGUCAUCAUCGUUUAGGGCGUGGACUAC